AUGUAAUUCUCUGCGUUCGGAUGAUGUAAUGAAUGUUUUACUGUGCCUACGAGAUAAAGUUCAUAUUUGUAGGAUCCAUGCUUCUAUCGCAACAUCGAAAACCCAAAAGACAGUCUUAUCGAUACCAAGUGUUCCAAACAGAAUUUUCCAAAACUGGACCUGUUUGAAGAGAAAAGGGAAGAUGCCUACUCAUUUGGGUCUCUUGGGAAGAGCUAAUCUAAGGUACCCUUUUAAUGCCUUUGGAAGAUGGAGUUGGUUGAUACUGUCAUAGGUAGUCUUGCUGCACACUACAGCUCGGCACAAAUGUUGCAAGGGAAAAGUAAAGUUACGAUGGAGAGGAAACGUAAGCAUAGGUUCAAAGAACAUGCAGCAAGAUGGGUCCUUAUAAUGUUCAAUAAGACCACAAACUGUUGGAGAUGCAAAUACACCAGGAUCAUGAGAAUCAAAGCUGAAAUGGUGAUUCCAUUGUUCAAUGCGGGCAUGAAGUGAACGCCCAUAUUUACGGAAGCUUACAGAAAAUAAAUAUUCUUCUUGUGCUGAGUCACGAA